CCCUUAGAGUUUGAUCCUGGCUCAGAAUGAACGUUGGCGACGUGGAUUAGGCAUGCAAGUCGGACGGGGCCGCAAGGUACCCGUGGCGCAAGGGUGAGUAAGGCGACGGUAACCAACCCCGGGGCUGGCCAUAGCCGAGGGAAACCUCGGGUAAUUGCCAGCGACGCACUGCGGCGGCAUCGCCGCGGUGCCAAAGGUGAGAUUCCGCCCCGGGACGGGCCGUCGUGGUAUCAGGUUGUUGGCGGGGUAGCGGCCCACCAAGCCUCUGACGCCUACCGGGCGUGCGAGCGUGGCCCGGCACACUGGGACUGAGACACUGCCCAGACUCCUACGGGAGGCUGCAGUCGAGAAUCUUCGGCAAUGGGCGCAAGCCUGACCGAGCGACGUCGCGUGGAGGACGAAGGCCUUCGGGUUGUAAACUCCUGUCGGGGGGGAACAAGGGCCGGCGAAGAGCCGGACUUGAGUGA
rnacentral:rRNA from 1 species